AGCAGCCGCGGUAAUUCCAGCUCCAAUAGCGUAUAUUAAAGUUGCUGCAGUUAAAAAGCUCGUAGUUGAAUUUCGGGAUUGACCCAUCGGUCGUGCCUUAAGGGGUAUGAACUGGUGUAGUCAAUUUCUCACCUUCUGGAGAACCGUGAUGUCCUUAAUUGGGUGCCACGAGGAACCAGGACCUUUACUUUGAAAAAAUUAGAGUGUUUAAAGCAGGCACUUUUGCUUGAAUACAUUAGCAUGGAAUAAUAAAAUAGGACGGCAUGAUUCUAUUUUGUUGGUUUCUAGGAUCACCGUAAUGAUUAAUAGGGAUAGUUGGGGGCAUUAGUAUUCAAUUGUCAGAGGUGAAAUUCUUGGAUUUAUUGAAGACUAACUACUGCGAAAGCAUUUGCCAAGGAUGUUUUCAUUAAUCAAGAACGAAAGUUAGGGGAUCGAAGACGAUCAGAUACCGUCGUAGUCUUAACCAUAAACUAUGCCGACUAGGAAUCAGACGAUGUUAAUUUUUAAUGACUCGUUUGGC
rnacentral:rRNA from 1 species